AUUGAACGCUAGCGGGAUGCCUUACACAUGCAAGUCUAACGGAGUGGCGAACGGGUGAGUAAUGUAUCGGAACGUGCCCAGUAGCGGGGGAUAACUACGCGAAAGCGUAGCUAAUCCCGCAUACGAUUGGAGCGGCCGAUAUCGGAGUAGCUAGUUGGUGGGGUAACGGCUCACCAAGGCGAAGAACCGUAGCUGGGUUGAGAGGACGACCAGCCACACGGGUACGGAGACACGGCCCAGACUCCUACGUGAGGCAGCAGUGGGGAAUUUGGGACAAUGGGGGAAACCCUGAUCCAGCCAUCCCGCGUGUGCGAUGAAGGCCUUCGGGUUGUAUAGCACUUUUGGAAGGAAAGCGGUACCUGCAGAAUAAGCACCGGCUAACUACGUGCCAGCAGCCGCGGUAAUUC
rnacentral:rRNA from 1 species